rnacentral:misc_RNA from 1 species
GAGAUUAAAGUUCACAUACAUUCUGACCCACAAACCACCAGAAGUUUCAUUAUAAUGUCUUCACCACAAAAUAGUUGACACUAAAUGGAUUGCUAACAACCUGCCAUAACAAACUUCAGUAGAUGGGAUCUCCAUUGCCCCUCAACUCAUCAUCGCCUCCGUUUUCUCAAGGGUGUUGUAGUUCAGAAGCUUCUCAAUAAGGUCAACAUGAGUCAUGAGCAUUCGCCUGCAGCAGUAGCGAACCAGGCCUAAGGCAUCCAGAGCAUCCCCCUCAGUGUAAUCCGCUUGGAGGAGAUCGAGAUACGUGUCCCAUUUGUUACCGAUCACCUUUCCACAGGUGAAGCAGCGGACCGGAAUGAUCAUCUUCUUCGCUUCGCCGCCGGAGAGAGAGAGGUUGCGG